CGGUGGUGGGGGUUUCCCUGGAACAUUUUAGCACAGGCCGACACAGUCAUUCCUCCAUCGCUACACACCGCCUACCACCUCCUCCAUACCGGAUUUCCAUACAGAGGAAUACCGUAUGGGUGUGAGAUCACGGCUUUCAUGAAAUAGUGAUCGACCCAGCCUCACACAGGAUGGACAGAGAGAGGAAGAGACAGAGAGAGAGGGAGAGGGGGAGAAAGAGGGUGCGGGAGGGGGUUGUGGAGAGGAGGAGGAGGAGGAGAAGGAGGGGAUAUUCCUUUGGACAGCCUUUAUCAUGCAUCCACCCCACCAUCACAAUCCAGUCUCCCCGCAACCGUGAUUUUUUUUUUGCCCCUUUUGACAAUCGAAAACACGACAAAGCAGCAGGCUUUUUUCUUUCUUUCUUUCUUUUUUUUUACAAACUAGCUGACACACAGGGGAAAUGAAGGCCGGCAGCGGGCACAGCUAACACCAUCCUCAUAGCCGCACGUCGCAUCCAAGCGGAAAAGCUUUCCGAUAUUGCAGAGAGAGCGGCUCGACAUGAAAACUGCAGGAGCGGACACAGACCAAUGCAGAGCCCACAUUUACUGCUUCAACCGCAUAAGCACUGGGAUAUCAUGUAGCAUGAACACGAUUGCAUACCGCUAGAGAGAGAGGGAGAGAGAGAGGGAGAGAGAGAGAGAGAGGGAGUGAGAAGAAUGCAAGCCUUUAAAUCACCGUCGCCUUCAAGAGGCUGCAGAAACCAUCGAGAGACCCGGAGCCGCCGCCGCCACGCAAAAUCCAGCCGACAUGUAUGAAGGUCCGUGCGCACAGCCAGAGGAAAAGAAUUCAAGGAAAUAUGAAAGAGCCAAUGGGCAUUUCGGCUUUUUACCUGUCAAGACUCCGACCCGGAUUUGGUGGUCGUGGUUCGUUAAAAUCAUCCCGUCUGACGCCAUGUUCAGCAGCGCUGUCGCCCGCACCGAGAACUCACGGCAGGGCCCAGAGCCGAUCACAUCGAACUUACUGGGAGAGGGAGGGGAGGAGGAGGAAGAGAAGAGCAGGAGGAGGAAGAGGUGGAGGAGGGCUUGAAUACUGCAAAAAAAAAAAAAAAAAAAAAAAAAAGACAGCCAGACAAGAUGAGUAGAGAGCCGAGUGGUUAUCGGGACACCUCCAGAUAAGCGGGCAGGAUGCGGGGGCCGUUUAAACCGCACACAUCACUCAGCUGGCCGCCAGCCAUUGUAGUAGUGUGGAUCCUAGAUUAAUUCUUAUGGAGACCAUUAUUUCCUGAGAAUGCGUUCAGGGACAGAACAAACAGACGUUCAGUAACAGCAGACAUCUGCAGAGGCCUUCUAAUUUAUUUUCAUGUCAUGCACCUAAUACCAUUUCUGGACGUGGACAUUUCAGCUGACCCCUAAAGGAACACACAGCCUGACAGUGGCAGCAACCUCAGUGUGAAAAUAUGGGUUAUUCCAGAAUUUUUGAAAAGCAAACCUACUCUUAUAAUUGUCUGCUACAUAUUUAUCAGUAAUAAAUAAUAAACUAUAAAAGGGUUGAUUGGCUCAGCUUAGGCAUCAGUGGUACCAUUUUUAUUCCAUGUUUUAUUUGUUACUCUAAUCACAGUAACAGGGUUUCUAAUCCAUGCUAAUGUUAGCUUUUUCUCAGGAGUAGAAGCUAGAUAUUUACACACGUGGACAAAAUUGUUGGUACCCCUCAGUUAAAGAAGGAAAAACCCACAAUUCUCACUGAAAUCACUUGAAACUCACAAAAGUAACAAUAAAUAAAAAUUUAUUGAAAAUUAAAUAAUCAAAAUCAGCCAUCACUUUUGAAUUGUUGAUUAACAUAAUUAUUUAAAAAAACAAACUAAUGAAAUAGGGCUGGACAAAAAUGAUGGUACCCAUAACUUAAUAUUUUGUUGCACAACCUUUUGAGGCAAUCACUGCAAUUAAACGAUUUCUGUAUUUGUCAAUGAGCGUUCUGCAGCUGUCAACAGGUAUUUUGGCCCACUCCUCAUGAGCAAACAGCUCCAGUUGUCUCAGGUUUGAUGGGUGUCUUCUCCAAAUGGCAUGUUUCAGCUCCUUCCACAUAUGUUCAAUGGGAUUCCCAAGUGCAGAUCUGGGCUCAUAGAAGGCCACUUUAGAAUAGUCCAACGCUUUUCUCUCAGCCAUUCUUGGGUGUUUUUGGCUGUGUGUUUUGGAUCAUUGUCCUGUUGGAAGACCCAUGACCUGCGACUGAGACCAAGCUUUCUGACACGAGGCAGCACAUUUCUCUCCAGAAUGCCUUGAUAGUCUUCAGAUUUCAUCGUACCUUGCACACUUUCAAGACACCCUGUGCCAGAUGCAGCAAAGCAGCCCCAAAACAUUACUGAGCCUCCUCCAUGUUUCACCGUAGGGACAGUGUUCUUUUCUUCGUAUGCUUGGUUUUUGAGUCUAUGAACAUAGAGUUGAUGUGCCUUACCAAAAAGCUCCAGUUUGGUCUCAUCUGUCCAAAGGACAUUCUCCCAGAAGCUUUGUGGCUUGUCAACAUGCAUUUUUGCAAAUUCCAGUCUGGCUUUUUUAUGAGUUUUUUUCAGCAGUGGUGUCCUCCUUGGUCGUCUCCCAUGAAGUCCACUUUGGCUCAAACAACGACGAAUGGUGCGAUCUGACACUGAUGUACCUUGGCCUUGGAGUUCACCUUUAAUUUCUUUGGAGGUUGCUCUGGGCUCUUUGGAUACAAUUCCAACGAUCCGUCUCUUCAAUUUGUCAUCAAUUUUCCUCUUGCGGCCACGUCCAGGGAGGUUGGCUACUGUCCCGUGGGUCUUGAACUUCUGAAUAAUAUGAGCCACUGUUGUCACAGGAACUUCAAGCUGUUUAGAGAUGGUCUUAUAGCCUUUACCUUUAAGAUGUUUGUCUAUAAUUUUUUUUCGGAUGUCCUGGGACAAUUCUCUCCUUCGCUUUCUGUUGUCCAUGUUCAGUGUGGUACACACCUUUUCACCAAACAGCAGGGUGACUACUUGUCUCCCUUGAAAUAGGCAGACUGACUGAUUAUGAGUUUGGAAACACCUGUGAUGUCAAUUAAAUGACACACCUGAGUUAAUCAUGUCACUCUGGUCAAAUAGUUUUCAGUCUUUUAUAGAGGUACCAUCAUUUUUGUCCAGGCCUGUUUCAUUAGUUUGUUUUUUUAAAUAAUUAUGUUAAUCAACAAUUCAAAAGUAAUGGCUGUUUUUGAUUAUUUAAUUUUCAAUAAAUUUUUAUUUAUUGUUACUUUUGUGAGUUUCAAGUGAUUUCAGUGAGAAUUGUGGGUUUUUCCUUCUUUAACUGAGGGGUACCAACAAUUUUGUCCACGUGUGUAGCUAGCUGUUACUGCUGACCAACAACACAAAUUUACUGAUGUAAAAAAGUCAAGAAAAAAGUGAAAAGAAUUUGUCUUAAUAUAAUAUAGAAUCGAUAAUAUGCAUAACAGGGCUGCAUUAGAGUGAGACAUUCAGUCAAGGCUGACAAUGUUCUAAAAAUAAAAAAAAUAGAAGAGAGGACGUAGCUUUGCUCUAUCCAUUCUUUUGGAAAACUGAUGAUGUUAAUUCCUGCAUUUCAUGUGAUUCACUGUUUUCUUUUUCUUCUUAAAGGUUAUGCUAAUAGAGUUGUGUGCAUGUUGUGAGACACAUGUUUCAUGCAUAAUAACUAUUAUUUAAAAUAUUAUGUUGCUUAAAAGAUGUUCUGGCAAUUAUGAGAGACAUCAAUGAAAAAAAAUACACUAAAAGGAGAUUGAAAUUUCAUUUAAACUGUUUUAUUUAAGAUUCAAACAUUCUUUUCUCCUUUUUUUAGAUUUGGUCUCAGGACAAGUACAUUUUCACAACAACUGCAUGUUUUAGUAUUUUGUACAUGGAUUAUUUGAAAUUUGAUUAGUGGGAUGUAAAAUAUCCUCUAGUUCUGGAAUGACCCAUAAAGCCCUCUCAUCCAACCAACAAUUCCUUCAGAAGAUGCUCUCUUGCUUUUUGAGAUUAAAGAGGUCUUUCUUUCAAAGAGCAAGGACAACACCCCUGAGAUGCCUCCAUGCAAAGUCUUAAAAGAAGAUCACAGUCUGACCUGUAAAAAUGCAACUAUAUCCCCAAGCAAUAAAUAAAUAAUACAAUAUGAAGAAAAAAAAUCACAGCUGCUA